GGUACUCUGAUCUGACACCCACAGGCUGCUGUUCUGCCGAAGCUCUUUUGCAUCAGACAUAAUGAGACGGUGCCGCACAAGUAACGGGAGAAGCUCCAGAUGUUUGACGGCCUCCAGAUCACCUUCAUCGCCUGCAGUGGGACUGAAUUUCAUCUCGGUCAAGGCGAAGAAAAGUGGGAUUGCUGUCAUACGGAUCAGAAAAAAAACAGCACAAAAGGUGAAGAUUUGCAGAAUAUCUGGUCACACUUUUCAACUCAACUGAAAGAGAGAGAGAAAAAAAACUUAAAAAGCAUCAUAAAAAAGG